CCGGUAAGGGUGAAAAGGCGGGGUAAGAGCCCACCGCGCGGGUGGCGACACACCGCGGACCGUACCUACUGCGAGUUGCAAGACCAUGUAAACCGGCGCUAUCAGGAUUGCCCGUCCGAGCCGGAGGGUAGGUCGCUACGAGCCGUGCGGGUGACCGCCGGCCCAGAUAAAUGGCAGAGGCCCGGACCGCAGCAUGUAUUUGCGAUGGCGAAGGUACAGAACCCGGCUUAACUCCCUGUUUUUUAA
rnacentral:RNase_P_RNA from 1 species